rnacentral:rRNA from 1 species
AUGGCCGGCGGCCUCCACCCCUACGUCGACGGCGAGGAGCCCGAGUACCCACGCCUCCCCGCCCUCAAGUGGAUCCUGUCCCCCGCCGCCUGGGUCCGCGUCGAGCCAUCCGCAUCCGGCGGCCCCUACGUGAUAGGGAUGCGCCAGCUUUCCCCCCACCACCACCACCACCACCUCGCCGGCGUCGCGCUCGAGAAACAAGGUGGCGCGGACAUCAUCGCCGCUCCUCAUCCGCCCGCCUGCCUGGUCGCCGCGGGCACCUCCACCCGCACCGCCCCUGCCAAAUGCGGCCGCCUACCCCCGCCCACCGUCCACCGCCACGCCGUCGACGAGGAGCGGCAUGGAGGGCGCGUCCUCGCCACCACCCCUCGCCUCGCCGCCCCACGUCUCGGUACAAUGGUCUCCCGUCUUCCCCUCCACUCAGGCGCGCGCCGCCUCCUCCACUCAGCGGCCGCCGGCCGGCGAUGGGCCUCCACUCAGAUCCUGGUGCGCCCAGAGGACCUGGAGGAGGUCAGGACGAGGCUCGGCAAGGUCGAGGUGCGAACACUCGCCCUCGAAAGAAAAUCACGCAAUGCCCGACUUCGCGCUGUCGGUGCCGUGGUGGUUUGCCCUGCCGUUGUAGGCUAUGCUGGUUGGUUCUGGAGGGAAAACAAGGAGGCUAUCAUCCAAGCAGUGGGUAAAGUGGUGGUGGAUGCCGCAGCGCAGGAGCUGAAAAGGAGGCGGCCGACCAUGUCCGGUGUGAGCGCAUGGCUCAAUGCUUGCACCGGGGGCUGGGUUGGUUCCUCCAAGGAACAACAGCUUGAGGCGGCAGCAAAAAAGCUGCACGAGGAGCACGAGGAGCACAAGCGUUGGACGCUGUACCUCCACAACUCCCCUAAAGAUGAGUAUCUAUGGGUGUCCAGCAUCAAGUACAGGUUCUCCGGCCAGCCAGAUGUAUCGGAUGAAGAGUGGUGCAGGUUCCAAGAUGCACUCAAGAAGAAGGGCGGCAAAGGAAACGAGUGA